rfam:Pteropus alecto contig99, whole genome shotgun sequence.
GUCUACGGCCAUGCCACCCAGAACAAGCCCGAUCCCAUCUGAUCUCGGAAGCUAAGCAGGGUUGGGCCUGGUUAGUACUUGGAUGGGAGACCACCUAGAAAGACCAGGUGCUAUAGGUG